AGAUCCCCUUGAUUUACCUUCAACAACGAAGGAAAUCUGGAUAUCCGCGUUUGCGUUCAGAUUUUGCAGAAUAAUUGUGGAGUGGCGGCGCCCUCAGGUGGUCUUUCGUGUUUCUGCAGGCGGCCUCAUGCGGAGAAUUUUGCUGUGAUAAACAGUGAAGGUGGCCCCAGAGAGAGCCUCAGCCAAGAGGAGAGGCAGCUGCAGGCCUCUCACAGAAGCCCAGCAAACCCCAACCCACCAAACCUCUGCUGAAACUCAGCUUCUGCCAACCCAGAGAGAGAGUGUAGGAAGAGAGAGACCAUGAGGACCUCUCAGCACGCCCACCAGCUGCCAGCAUAACCGCGCCUCCACGCCCUCUGGCCUCCUGGCUGUGCAGCUACCUGGUUCCACACUACAGAGGCACAGGGGGGCAUAAAGGCCAUUAUCCUGAGCUACAGAAGUGAACAACAGAUAGAGGGCCUCUCUCAGGCUCCUUGAAAACUGAAGCCCACU